GAGAAAAGGAAAAAGUUGGAGUGACUCUCUAAGCAAAACAACUGCUUAAAGAUUAAAGAUGCACAGAGCACUUCUCCUGAAGGGCAGUCAACCAGAAUUCUGGAGUCAAAAGCAAGCAGCUGAAGAAUCUAGAAGGCUGAGGAACAUACGGAAAACUUCUGUGAUUGUUGAAAUAAAAUCAAGAAGCUAUUCAUUGAGCCUAAAGAAGCCACAUCUGUCUACUAACAAUGUUGCAGAAAACAGCAAGUAAAACAGAGACGCCAGAGACUUUCAAUGAUUGUAACAGGUCUUUCCAGUCAUAGGUAACCCAUGUAUGCAGUUUGUCUUGCCUAGUGCAGGGAUCUAAAGCUUCCUCAGCAUUAUGAGUGCAAGAGAUAUGCAAACAACCGAGAUUGGAGCUGUUCACCCGUGUCUACAUUACAGGUAUCUUAAGCAUAGCAAUGGCCUGGACCAACUGACUGAGUUUCCCAUAACACAGAUGUCACAAACGCAGCAUGGAACACUCAGGGGAAUCCAGACAGUGCACAGUGCAGAAGAGAACAGGAAGUGAGAUGUUGCCAAGCACAUUUUAGCUAAAGAUUUUUUACCAUACCUUCACUGGAGAGUGCUUUUGUUUACUUAUAAGGAAUAAGGGAACCCUCUUGUAGAAAAGAUGCCAUCCAUAGUCUGUAACUAGGUCUUAGGUAGAUGAAUAGUAGGGUGUAAGAUCUUCUCAGUCUUUAGUGUAGGCCUGACUUGUUGACAAAUCUUUUCAUUGUGAACCUCUUUGAGUAUAUAAAAAGUAGACACAAAAAUGGUGAAGAAUGAAAAUACAGUUAUGGAUGUACAGAGGCACAAAUCAAUAUGGCUGUCCUUCAGGCUUUACAGGAGAAUAGUUCCAGGACCCUCCCAAUUUUAAACUUCACAGAUAUCCAAAUACUGUUGUUAAGAUGGAGUAAGAUUUAUAUAUGAACUCCACACAUCUUCCCAUGUACUUCAAACUGUCUCUGGCUUACAUACAACACUUAUCACAAAUGAGUGCUCUACAAAUAGAAACUACGGUAUAUUUUCAAAGAAAAAGAACAAGAAAAAAGUCUGUGGAUGAUAGAACGAAUUUUCCUGUGGG
rnacentral:lncRNA from 1 species